UAGCAAUGUGCCGGAACAUUGUGUGUAA
rnacentral:sRNA from 1 species